CCUGGACUUUGAAUCCAGUAACGCGAGUUCGAAUCUCGCCGGAACCU
rfam:Haemonchus placei strain MHpl1 genome assembly, scaffold: HPLM_scaffold0000873